rnacentral:rRNA from 1 species
AUUGAACGCUGGCGGCAUGCCUUACACAUGCAAGUCGAACGGCAGCGGACCUUCGGGUGCCGGCGAGUGGCGAACGGGUGAGUAAUAUAUCGGAACGUACCUUUCAGUGGGGGAUAACGUAGCGAAAGUUACGCUAAUACCGCAUAUUCUGUGAGCAGGAAAGCAGGGGAUCGCAAGACCUUGCGCUGAUUGAGCGGCCGAUAUCAGAUUAGCUAGUUGGUGAGGUAAAGGCUCACCAAGGCGACGAUCUGUAGCGGGUCUGAGAGGAUGAUCCGCCACACUGGAACUGAGACACGGUCCAGACUCCUACGGGAGGCAGCAGUGGGGAAUUUUGGACAAUGGGCGCAAGCCUGAUCCAGCCAUGCCGCGUGAGUGAAGAAGGCCUCGGUUGUAAAGUACGUCUUUCGGUCCGGGUAACGGAAAGUAC